UGGGGAAUAUUGCGCAAUGGGGGAAACCCUGACGCAGCAACGCCGCGUGAAGGAAGAAGGCCUUCGGGUUGUAAACUUCUUUGAUUGGGGACGAAGGAAGUGACGGUACCCAAAGAACAAGCCACGGCUAACUACGUG
rnacentral:rRNA from 1 species